UUUUGGUGCAGUAAAGUGGGGCAACAAAAACCACACUGAGGUUCUUCGAGAGAUAUGACUCAACCGAAGAAGUGUGGCGGCUUGGGUUUCUAGGACAUCGAAUUGUUCAACAUAGCUUUGUUACCUUGGCACUUAUGGUGCCUCAUAACAGUAGCUGACUCUCUUUGUGCCUGUCACCUUAAAUCUCUCUAUUACCCAGACAAUGAUAUUCUUAAUGCCGAGCUGAGAUCACAUCCGUCUCAAGUAUGGAGAUCAAUCUUGAAGGGAAGAGACGCACUCUCACAUGGCAUCAUCAGGCGCAUUGGGACCGGUGCAAAUACACGAGUUUGGGCUGAGAAUUGGAUCCUGAGAGACUCGUCGAUGAGGUCGGUAGCUUAG
rnacentral:rRNA from 1 species